GCCUAGUUAGCUUGGUUGGUGCCUUGUAAGCGCUAGGCCGCGGGUUCGAUUCCCGCCCGGGGCG
rfam:Asian citrus Psyllid, Diaphorina citri - Florida Strain, whole genome shotgun sequence.